AAUGAACGUUGGCGGCGUGGAUUAGGCAUGCAAGUCGAGCGAGAACCGGUUUCGGCCGGGGACAGCGGCGAACGGCGUAGUAAUGCAUCGGAACGUACCCUCUGGUCGGGGAUAGCUACGGGAAACUGUAGGUAAUACCCGAUGAUCUCUGCGGAGCAAAGGUGAGAUUCCGCCGGAGGAGCGGCUGAUGUGAUAUUAGCUUGUUGGUGGGGUAAUGGCCUACCAAGGCGAUGAUGUCUAGGGGGUGUGAGAGCAUGGCCCCCACGACCGGAACUGAGAUACUGUCCGGACACCUACGGGUGGCUGCAGUCGAGAAUCUUCCGCAAUGGACGAAAGUCUGACGGAGCGACGCCGCGUGCGGGAUGAAGGCCCUUGGGUUGUAAACCGCUGUCAGAGGGGAUGAAAUCUUCGGAGGUACUCCUCCGAAGUUGACAGAGCCUCAAAGGAAGCACGGGCUAAGUACGUGCCAGCCGCCGCAGUAAUAC
rnacentral:rRNA from 1 species